GCGGCGGACGGGUGAGUAAUGCGUAGGAAGCUACCCGACAGAGGGGGAUACCAGUUGGAAACGACUGUUAAUACCGCAUAAUGUCUACGGACCAAAGUGUGGGACCUUCGGGCCACAUGCUGUCGGAUGCGCCUACGUGGGAUUAGCUAGUUGGUGAGGUAAUGGCUCACCAAGGCGACGAUCCCUAGCUGGUUUGAGAGGAUGAUCAGCCACACUGGAACUGAGACACGGUCCAGACUCCUACGGGAGGCAGCAGUGGGGAAUAUUGGACAAUGGGCGAAAGCCUGAUCCAGCCAUGCCGCGUGUGUGAAGAAGGCCUUCGGGUUGUAAAGCACUUUCAGUAGGGAGGAAGAGUUGAGUGUUAAUAGUACUCAGCUUUGACGUUACCUACAGAAGAAGCACCGGCUAACUCUGUGCCAGCAGCCGCGGUAAUACAGAGGGUGCAAGCGUUAAUCGGAAUUACUGGGCGUAAAGCGCACGCAGGCGGUUGGUUAAGUCAGAUGUGAAAGCCCCGGGCUCAACCUGGGAAUUGCAUUUGAAACUGGCCAACUA
rnacentral:rRNA from 1 species